UUAAUGAUUAAUCCUAUUAAGGUUAAAACCAGGCUGCUAACCUGAUAAUAAUGAUAUUCAUUUAACCUUUA
rnacentral:tRNA from 1 species